rnacentral:rRNA from 1 species
GACGAACGCUGGCGGCGUGCCUAAUACAUGCAAGUCGAGCGCAGGAAGCCGUCUGAACCCUUCGGGGGGACGACGGUGGAAUGAGCGACGGACGGGUGAGUAACACGUAAAGAACCUGCCCAUAGGUCUGGGAUAACCACGAGAAAUCGGGGCUAAUACCGGAUGUGUCAUCGGACCGCAUGGUCUGCUGAUGAAAGGCGCUCCGGCGUCGGCCAUGGAUGGCUUUGCGGUGCAUUAGCUAGUUGGUGGGGUAACGGCCCACCAAGGCGACGAUGCAUAGCCGACCUGAGAGGGUGAUCGGCCACACUGGGACUGAGACACGGCCCAGACUCCUACGGGAGGCAGCAGUAGGGAAUCUUCCACAAUGGACGAAAGUCUGAUGGAGCAACGCCGCGUGAACGAUGAAGGCUUUCGGGUCGUAAAGUUCUGUUGUAAGGGAAGAACAAGUGCCGCAGGCAAUGGCGGCACCUUGACGGUACCUUGCGAGAAAGCCACGGCUAACUACGUGCCAGCAGCCGCGGUAAUAC